CAUCCUCCAAGGCUAAAUACUCCUGACUGACCGAUAGUGAACCAGUACCGUGAGGGAAAGGCGAAAAGAACCCCGGCGAGGGGAGUGAAAAAGAACCUGAAACCGUGUACGUACAAGCAGUGGGAGCACCUUCGGGUGUGACUGCGUACCUUUUGUAUAAUGGGUCAGCGACUUAUAUUCUGUAGCAAGGUUAACCGUAUAGGGGAGCCGCAGGGAAACCGAGUCUUAACCGGGCGUUAAGUUGCAGGGUAUAGACCCGAAACCCGGUGAUCUAGCCAUGGGCAGGUUGAAGGUUGGGUAACACUAACUGGAGGACCGAACCGACUAAUGUUGAAAAAUUAGCGGAUGACCUGUGGCU
rnacentral:rRNA from 1 species